rnacentral:rRNA from 1 species
UACGUAGGGUGCGAGCGUUUGUCCGGAAUUACUGGGCGUAAAGAGCUCGUAGGUGGUUUGUCGCGUUGUUCGUGAAAUCCCACGGCUUAACUGUGGGCGUGCGGGCGAUACGGGCAGACUGGAGUACUGCAGGGGAGACUGGAAUUCCUGGUGUAGCGGUGAAAUGCGUAGAUAUCGUAAGGAAGACCAGUGGCGAAGGCGG